rnacentral:rRNA from 1 species
AUUGAACGCUGGCGGCAUGCUUUACACAUGCAAGUCGAACGGCAGCACGGACUUCGGUCUGGUGGCGAGUGGCGAACGGGUGAGUAAUACAUCGGAACGUACCCAGUAAUGGGGGAUAACUAUCCGAAAGGAUAGCUAAUACCGCAUACGCCCUACGGGGGAAAGAGGGGGAUCGCAAGACCUCUUGUUAUUGGAGCGGCCGAUGGCUGAUUAGCUAGUUGGUAGGGUAAAGGCCAACCAAGGCAACGAGCAGUAGCGGGUCGUAGAGGACGAUCCGCCACACUGGAACUGAGACACGGUCCAGACUCCUACGGGAGGCAGCAGUGGGGAAUCUUGGACAAUGGGCGCAAGCCUGAUCCAGCAAUGCCGCGUGCGUGAAGAAGGCCUUCGGGUUGUAAAGCGCUUUUGUCAGGGAGCAAAUCCUUGUGGCUAAUACCCACCGGGGAUGAGAGUACCUGAAGAAUAAGGACCGGCUAACUACGUGCCAGCCGCCGCGGUAA